CUCCAAUCAAGGUGGAGGCUGGCGGCCCGUAGCGAGCAGAUGGAGGAGGCAAGUAUGAUUUGUUUUUUUACACUAUUUCAGGUUAAAUCGAUUCACUAACACGAAGCACGAGGAAAUUCGGCUUGGAGGCAAAUCGAAUUUAUCCUGAAAUUCGGAUCCAAUUCCACU